GUUCAGAUAGAUUUAGCUGGUGGUGCAGAGAUCCGUGAGCUUGCUUUUACAGGACUUUAAUGAUAUAUAAAAGCAGCACGAGGUGCUCCUGACUGUGGAUUAAUUUGGAGAUGACUUUCUCUGUUGAAGAGUAGCAAGACUCUCGCGAGUUCUUAAAAAUGCACUUGUUUGGUAUGAGAAUGAAAAGCAGUGGCUGAAGAACCAAUCUUCAAUGGGCAAGCCUUCUCUGACAUCAAUAUCUGGCUUUGAGUGGCACAAAGAAAUAAAGGAAUGUGGAUUCAGACCUCACUGGGAUGCUUGGCAAUUCUAAUUCUACCCCAGACUGCAAAUGGACACACAACUGUUGUGACUUUUGUUGAAGAGGAGAAGGAUGGACUUGCCCUGAAUUCUUUCAUGUGCAAUAUCCGAAAACCCUCUCUUGGGGCCUGGAUCAGGACCCCUUUCCUAUAACAUCUUUCUGGCGACAACAAAGGGACAAUGGUGUGGAAUCCCCCUUCCCAAAUGCUACUUUUAGAUAUCACCUUUUGUCGGAACUUGGAGUUGGUAAUGACCUUCACCAUACCACCACUCUGGGACUGAGCUUCUCUCUACCCUGAUGCAAGAGACCCUAAUAGGCAGGAAUAUGACCACCCCUAUUCAGCCUGAAGAAGUUACAGAAGUUCUGAAACCCUUAGAAAUGAGGGUCUUCUUGUAAAGGGAGUGGGGAGAUAUAUCAGAGGCAUUUGAACCAGAGCAACUCCAUCUUGAGUGAGGGCUAGGAAAAUGAGGCUAGGACUUGCUGGGCUGCAUUCUCAGAAAGUCAGUCAUUCCUAGCCUCUAGAUGUUUACGGUUAAGGGAACAAAUUUAUAACAUUUACUAAACACACCCAGACUUGGGAGUGUCCAGAUAUCCCAAUAUCUGGAGAACAAAGGCAUUCCUAAUUUUGCUUUAAAGACAAUAAUAUUGAUUCUUGCAAAAUAUAGUAAUUAAGAAAAUUAAUCCUUUAUCACAAACCCUUGUAGUAAAACACAUCUCCCCAUAUAUACAAGCAUUGUACCUAAGGUGGAUGCGUUCCAUCUCUUACUUUCAGGAAUGUCCUACACUAUCUAAGGAGUAGCUGUACUUUCACCACUUUACUUUCUUAAUAAACUUGUUUUUACUUUGCACCAA
rnacentral:lncRNA from 1 species